AUAGUGUCUGGGACGCACGAACAAAACGCCGCUAUUCGGAUAUAACGAUGGAUUAUUUUGGACCAAACCAACAUUUGUUAUUGAAGUAGCAGUCCUGGGAGUGCAUUCUGACGAAGACAACAAAAGAUUGGAAUGUCCACAGUGCAAGGUGUUCUACAUUGGACGGACAAAGAGACGCCUUCAAGAUCGCCUAGCGGAACACAAGUACGCCAUACGGGUAGGCAAUGAAGACUACCCCAUGGCAAGGCACUGCAAGUCCUUAAACCAUGGUAACCCUGCCUCCCUACAAGCUAUGGGUAUUGAUCAUAUCCCGGCCUUUAUUAGAAAAGGGGACCGUCUUAAACAGUUAAACCAAAUGGAAAGUUUUUGGAUUUACAAACUACAGGCCACUAAAUACCCAGGUUUAAAUGAAGAUAUGGAUUUCUCAUCCUUCCUGUAGGGUUGUGAUGGGUACAUUUGCUGUCAUCUAGUGGGUAUUUUGCUCAAUUGCCCUCAGCUAUGUUUAGACUCUUGUUGUUCAUGUUUUGCUGUGUUCUAGUGUACUAUGGAAUAUAUUGCUUUCUUAUUCUUGACACUUCUCCCAGACAUAUUUAAGGUUAGAACUACCUUUCUAAGUGUUCUGAUAAUUCUAGCUUGGAGUUACAUUUUUAUGAUAACAUAGCUACAGUAUUUCACUUUAAAGUGUGUAUACUAUUGCUUACUAGGUGUGUCCAAUCAAUUUUAACCACUCCCUCUUCAAAUUAGGGUUAAUUGGAAAAGCUGUUAAAAAGAGAACAUUGUUUUAUUUCUUUGUACUCCCUGAUGAAGGCCAUGCAGCCGAAAUGCGUCGGAUUUUAAAGAACAUUGUUUCUAUUGAACAUGCCAUACUAAUAAAG
rnacentral:lncRNA from 1 species